UAUUAGCCCUGAUUGAACGACAUGUCUGAGCUCUUUUUGCGAUAAGGAUAAAGAAAUGGCGCAAAAAAGCGAGCAGUGAAAGCAGGUUCCCGG
rnacentral:misc_RNA from 1 species